GACGAACGCUGGCGGCGUGCUUAACACAUGCAAGUCGAACGGAAAGGCCCCUUUCGUUGCGUACUCGAGUGUCGAACGGGUAAGUAACACUUGAGUAACCUGCCCUUGACUUUGGGAUAACUUCAGGAAACUGGGGCUAAUACCGGAAAGGAGCUCCUGCUGCAAGUUCGGGGUUGGAAAGUUUUGGCGGUUUGGGCUGAACUCGCGGCAUAUCAGCUUGUUGGUGUGGUAGUGUAUUACCAAGGCUUUGACGGGUAGCCGGCCUGAGUGGGUGACCGGCGACAUUGGGACUGAGAUACGGCCCAGACUGCUACGGGAGGGAGAAGUGGGGAAUAUUGCACAAUGGGUGGAAGCCUGAUGCAGCAACGCCGUGUGCGGGAUGACGGCCUUCGGGUUGAAAACCGAUUUCGCUCAUGACGAAGCUUUGUGUGACGGUAGUGGGUAAAGAAGCAACGGCUAACUACGUG
rnacentral:rRNA from 1 species